rnacentral:rRNA from 1 species
UGCGUAGGCGGCUUGGUAAGUCAGAUGUGAAAUCCUGGGGCUCAACCUCGGAACUGCAUUUGAUACUGCCAGGCUAGAGUACUGGAGAGGAGACUGGAAUUUACGGUGUAGCAGUGAAAUGCGUAGAUAUCGUAAGGAAGGCCAGUGGCGAAGGCGAGUCUCUGGACAGUAGCUGACGCUGAGGCACGAAGGCUAGGGGAGCAAACG